AGAGCUCAGCAACCAGGAGGCCACCUUGGCCGUGGGCCUGCCGGCCGCUCUCCCUCCCAGGGGCCCUCAGGGCCGUGUGCUGUGCUUCACCCCGGGACACCUCAGUGCCCGCACAGGGCGCAAGGUCCUCAGGCUGCUCACAUACGGGCAUGGGAAGGGCCAGCGCCUGCCACACGGGAAGGACAGCACUCCAGCGUUCCCGAGGCCCGAGUCGAUGGACUGUGGGUAUCCUAAACGUUGGAUCAGCCUGCCGGCUUAGGCUGCACCCCUCCUUCCGAUGGGGUACUUGCCGCUAGAUCUGCAAGCUCAUUCGGGGAAGAAGCUGUUCUCACCACACCUGACAGAGUUGCCCUGAUGAUGUUCACAGGAUGGGCGGUCUGGA